rnacentral:rRNA from 1 species
UACGUAGGGUGCGAGCGUUGUCCGGAAUUAUUGGGCGUAAAGAACUUGUAGGCGGUCUGUCGCGUCUGCUGUGAAAAUCCGGGGCUCAACCCCGGACUUGCAGUGGGUACGGGCAGACUAGAGUGUGGUAGGGGAGACUGGAAUUCCUGGUGUAGCGGUGAAAUGCGCAGAUAUCAGGAGGAACACCAGUGGCGAAGGCGCCGCUCUGGGCCGUGACUGACGCUGAGGAGCGAAAGCGUGGGUAGCAAACAGG